UACGGCGGGGGCUAGCGUUGUUCGGAAUCACUGGGCGUAAAGCGCACGUAGGCGGGUCAGUAAGUCAGGGGUGAAAUCCCGAGGCUCAACCUCGGAACUGCCCUUGAGACUGCUGACCUUGAGGUCGAGAGAGGUGAGUGGAAUUCCUAGUGUAGAGGUGAAAUUCGUAGAUAUUAGGAAGAACACCAGUGGCGAAGGCGGCUCACUGGCUCGAUUCUGACGCUGAGGUGAGAAAGCGUGGGGAGCAAACAGG
rnacentral:rRNA from 1 species